CAGUCAGGCCAUCUGUUCUGUGUGUCCCGUUAGGCCUGCCGGGCUAUGUCAUUGCAAGAAGGGGAGGAGAGAGAGGCAUAAGACCCCAUGGAUCUCCUGAUCCCGCUGAUGAGUGGGACGUCUACAGGUCCCGGUACACUGUCCUGUGACAUACACACACGAUCGCCGCGUUCAGAACAGGAGAACCAACGUUUCCGGCAACGACUGCUUGUCUCCAUGGCAACGCGUGGUGAUUAGAGGCGGUGGGAAUAGGACGGUGGACCCGGAAGACGGAGUGACGCGACCAGAUGCGGGAGGGAGUCCGUGGCGGCGUGGAGAGAGGUCCUCUCUUCUUUGGCUUUUCUCCAUCAUCCUCCUCUUCCUCGUCUUCUUCUCCAUCAUGUUCUUCAUGACUGAGACCUGACAAC